UUAUCCUACGGGAGGCAGCAGUGGGGAAUAUUGCACAAUGGGGGAAACCCUGAUGCAGCGACGCCGCGUGAGUGAAGAAGUAUUUCGGUAUGUAAAGCUCUAUCAGCAGGGAAGAAAAUGACGGUACCUGACUAAGAAGCCCCGGCUAACUACGUGCCAGCAGCCGCGGUAAUACGUAGGGGGCAAGCGUUAUCCGGAUUUACUGGGUGUAAAGGGAGCGUAGGCGGCAAGGUAAGCCAGAAGUGAAAGCCCGGGGCUCAACCCCGGGACUGCUUUGGAAACUGUAUGGCUGGAGUGCUGGAGAG
rnacentral:rRNA from 1 species